rnacentral:rRNA from 1 species
UACGGGGGGGGCAAGCGUUGUUCGGAAUUACUGGGCGUAAAGGGCUCGUAGGCGGCCAACUAAGUCAGACGUGAAAUCCCUCGGCUUAACCGGGGAACUGCGUCUGAUACUGGAUGGCUUGAGGUUGGGAGAGGGAUGCGGAAUUCCAGGUGUAGCGGUGAAAUGCGUAGAUAUCAGGAGGAACACCGGUGGCGAAGGCGGAUCUCUGGGCCAGUAUUGACGCUGAGGAGCGAAAGCGUGGGUAGCAAACAGG